UCUUAGCUCAGUUGGUAGAGCGAUAGGUUCGCAAUCUAUAGGUCAGGAGUUCGAAUCUCCUAGGGUC
rnacentral:tRNA from 1 species